rnacentral:lncRNA from 1 species
UAUCGACAUGGAAAUAACUGAGUAGAGGAAUGCAGAUAUAAAUGCAAGUGCAAGGUUCAAUAUAACUGUAAGGUAGAGUAAACAGUAGGGGUGAAGAAGCGUCACCGAGCGUGCACCACUGUACCGACUACGGGUCAGUGGAAAUACAGUAGGAACAAUAGUAAGCGAAAGAGAUGUAUAAAGUAAUGAGCAGAUAUACUAAAUACAGUAGCAAUAAACUGACAGAAAGUAAGAACUAGACUGAACAACGGCUACCGCUACUGUAACUGGAACAGAAAGCAUACAUGAAUAUCUACUAUAGUAGCAAGACAAUUAUAAAGCAAGAACUGUAAGUAUGCAAGCAACGACUGCUACUAUAGGCAUAUGCGUCAACUGGAUGUAAAGACCAAAUAUACCCAAUCUGAAAUCUGCUGCUUUGUUGGUCCGCAACUGAACCUCAAGCCUGUGGCACUACUACUCACCCUGUACCUGACCCUCGCAAUGAAGCCCCUGGGUCAGAAGCUUAUACCCUCGCAAUAAAGCCCCUGGGCUCACGAGUUGGCAAUCCAACCACUUUUCCGGAAAAGAACACCCUCUUGCGAUGGAUCAGACCGCUGGUGUUCGUGAAAUGCGUACCUGGAGUGGCGAUCAAUGUAGUAUGCUCAAAGAUCUUCCAUCGGCAACUAGCCGACAAUCCAGCCCCUCAGGGCACAUCGACCGUAUAGGUCAUCAGCAACUAGUCGGCUACGUAUGUCAAGAUAGAACUGUAGCAACUCGACCGAAUAGGUCAUAGAUAUCAAAAUAGGGGAACCGCCCAACCAAAUCACAGAUAUAGUGAACAGAUAAGUCAACUCUAUUCUAAGCAUGAUAUCGACAUGGAAAUAACUGAGUAGAGGAAUGCAGAUAUAAAUGCAAGUGCAAGGUUCAAUAUAACUGUAAGGUAGAGUAAACAGUAGGGGUGAAGAAGCGUCACCGAGCGUGCACCACUGUACCAACGUCGGAUCGAAGUACCCACCUGUACAACUGUCGCGCCUGUCUCCUGACUGCAAAAGAACGUCAACCGGACCUAAGGAGGGUCCACUGGGUUAGUGUCUAACCCACAACUAAGAAACCCUAAAAGCAUACUCCCACAAAUAAACCCACGAGAAUCGGUUUCCCAAACCGAUCUUCGUAAUACGCCGGAAAUCCCGUAAUCGCGCUGAGACUCUGCCGAGACCCAUGGACUGACCCGGAACUCACCGACUCGUACUUU